GGGUGAGUAGCAGUUGGCCGGCGGCCCGUGUGGGGGUGGGUGAAGCGGAGGGGGGGUGUGGAGGGGGGGGCCGGGGUGGGGGGGCGAGGGCGGCCGGGGGGGCGCGCAAAGCCGUGCAGGGGAUUGUCAAGGGAGGUCGGGAGCGCGCCGGACCCGGGCGGAGGGGUGAGUCCGUUCCGCUCCCGCCCCCCCUUGAAAAUCCGCUGGAGGGAAAAAUUAUCACGCCAGAUCGUACUCAUAACCGCAGCAGGUCUCCAAGUUGAACAGCCUCUGGUUGAUAGAACAACGGAGCCAAGGGAAGCCAGCAAAAUAGAUCCGCAACUUCGACAAGAGGAUUGACGCAUGUUGGGACAAGGUGGGCUCCAGGCGAGGCUCUCUGGAGCAGAUGGCCACCAGCGGGGCAAUCGGCCGGGGGCACUCAGCAUCUGGGUGCGAGCUUUUAGCAGGUAUAAUUGCCGUCCAGCGAACAGCGAACAAACCAACUUAGAACUGGUGCGGGUAGGGGGAAGCUGACUGUCUAAUUCAAACAUAGCAUUGCGAUGGACAGAAAGUGGUGUUGACGCAAUGGGAUUUCUGCCAAGUGCUCUGAAUGUAAAAGUGAAGAAAUUCAACCAAGCGGGGGUAAACGGCUGGAGUAACUAUAACUCUCUUAAGGUACCCAAAUGCCUCGUCCUCUAAUUAGUGAGGCGCAUGAAUGGAUAAACGAGAUUCCCACUGACCCUAUG
rnacentral:rRNA from 1 species